rnacentral:rRNA from 1 species
AUUGAACGCUGGCGGCAUGCCUUACACAUGCAAGUCGAACGGCAGCACGGGUGCUUGCACCUGGUGGCGAGUGGCGAACGGGUGAGUAAUACAUCGGAACGUACCUUAUCGUGGGGGAUAACGCAGCGAAAGUUGCGCUAAUACCGCAUACGCCCUGAGGGGGAAAGCGGGGGACCGUAAGGCCUCGCGCGAUUAGAGCGGCCGAUGUGUGAUUAGCUUGUUGGGGAGGUAAAAGCUCACCAAGGCGAUGAUCAGUAGCUGGUCUGAGAGGACGAUCAGCCACACUGGGACUGAGACACGGCCCAGACUCCUACGGGAGGCAGCAGUGGGGAAUUUUGGACAAUGGGGGCAACCCUGAUCCAGCAAUGCCGCGUGAGUGAAGAAGGCCUUCGGGAUGUAAAGCUCUUUUGUCAGGGAAGAAACAGCAGCUCUAACACAGUCUGCGAAUGACGGUACCUGAAGAAUAAGCACCGGCUAACUACGUGCCAGCCGCCGCAGUAA